UAAUUUCUUUCCAAUUAUUGAUUCGUAAUUUUAAUGUGCAAGGGAGCAAAAACUGUACUUGACAUCUGUCACAGAAUUGUCUGAUCGUAUCAUGCGUUAAAAAUAUUUUAUGAUGCCGUGGACGAGUUAAUUUAUAGAUAUCGAAUAUUAAUUUAAUAUCUGUUGGCAAUUUAGUUCAUUGUACGAUGAAUUGUUUUUUUUCAGAUAAUAUACGCGAAAGAGUUGUAUACAUGUGCUUCGUUUGGAAAUGCUUUAUCAUACGACGUGUCAACUUCGGCGAUGAAACGAUAUCUUUCUUUAUUAAGAUUACUCAUUAUCACGUGGUGAAUAAUUUUCAAAUUACUCUUUAUUGGAUCUCCGUGCACGGUGCAUCUAAACAGACCAUAAUUUCGUCUCGACCAUCGAAACAUUUACGCUCAUUACGAGUUUGGUCUGGGAUCAGACGAUGCGUACUAAUGGAAUCUUCCGUCCCGCCGGUUCUAGAAACAUCGAGCCGAUUCGUAAAUUUCCCGAAAUUAUUAUUAUUAAUCGAAACAAACAUUGUUCUCGCUUACACAAUAAUUAGAAUUGUUCAAACAUCUCGGAACACUUUCACACCCGUACAUUUUUCUAAUGUCAACGAUAACUUAUGUUUGUAUUCACAAAAGCAAAUGCAUUUGUUACUAGAAAA